rnacentral:misc_RNA from 1 species
GAAAUGCGAUAAGUAAUGUGAAUUGCAGAAUUCAGUGAAUCAUCGAAUCUUUGAACGCACAUUGCGCCCGCCAGUAUUCUGGCGGGCAUGCCUGUCCGAGCGUCAUUUCAACCAUCAAGCCCCCGGGCUUGUGUUGGGGACCUGCGGCUGCCCGCAGGCCCUGAAAACCAGUGGCGGGCUCGCUGUCACCGAGCGUAGUAGCAAUCACCUCGCUCAGGGCGUGCUGCGGGUUCCGGCCGUUAAACAGCCUUACAAAACCCAAGGUUGACCUCGGAUCAGGUAGGAAGACCCGCUGAACUUAAGC